rnacentral:rRNA from 1 species
GACGAAGGAUGCAAGCGUUAUCCGGAUUCAUUGGGUUUAAAGGGAGCGUAGGCGGCCUUGUAAGUCAGUGGUGAAAUCUCUGGGCUUAACUCAGAAAUUGCCAUUGAUACUGCAGGGCUUGAGUACAGUUGCCGUUGGCGGAAUAUGACAUGUAGUGGUGAAAUACAUAGAGAUGUCAUAGAACACCGAUUGCGAAGGCAGCUAACGAAACUGUAACUGACGCUGAGGCUCGAAAAGUGUGGGAGACUAAACAGG